AUUUUUCCCUAAGGGAAGUUAGAAACUGAGUUUCUCUUUAGGGGAACGUCUUUGCAGCGUCUGUUUGAAUGUUCUCCAGGUGUGGAAUACUCAGGGCCGUGUGUGUUUGGGAACAUCCGUGUCCUGAGCGAAUUCAGUAGGGAAUGGAGAGAGGCCUCCUGUCAGCUUGGCCUCUGUUUUGAGUUUGUGAGGGUUGACGGCUGCUGGUAUGCCAGGGAGAGUAAAACACUGGGCGCCGUGGGAUGGGAAUGUUCGCUCUGACAAGAUCUAUACAACCUGGCGUUUGGCCGUGGCUUCCAGGACAGGCUGGAUGCAGAGUGAAGUCCUCUCCUCACUGUCAAUGUUUGCAGAUGUCUUCUUGUAUAAACUUCGUAUUUCUUGAGACUUUCAAUUAGGUUUUUACUUAACUGGACUUUUAAAAUUGCCAUGCACAUAACUCUACCAGUUACAAUCUUGAGCUAACAUGGGUUUUGGUUUUGGUUUUGGUUUUACUUUGAUGAAUGUUUAACAUUUGCAUGCUGGAUGUGGGGGUGGAGGUCAUUUAUCUGCUUUUCAUUGCCUUCUUGGUUAUACUUAGUGACUUUCAGGUAAGGUGUGGAAGGCGUGGUACAGGGUGAAUUGCAGGCCGCACUGUGGCGCCGUGGAGGACAGGUGCGGGCUGCAGUGGUGUGCACAGUGGAUGAGAGACAAGAGGAGACUUCCAUCCUUGAGGGAAACACACAACAAUUUAAAAAACUGAUCGUCUAGCUUACAUGAGGUCCAACAAAUUCAGUUUGCAAAGUUUAACUUCCAAGUUAAUUUAGUAAUUUUUCCCCUAAGUCAUUAAUUUAGUAGCUUAUGUUUAAAUAUAUUUCUUUUGUCUAAAGGAGGCCAUAAAUUCUAAAAUGAAUGACUAAACAUGUAAUAAUUUAGGCAUACAGCACCUGAAGGGAAAACUGCCAGUAUGCUAAAAUAUUGGAUACAGAUGCUUUUAAAAAAUAUAAUGUAGCAUUCUUACAAUGCAUGUGCUCUUAGCGUGUAACUUGGUGGGUAGUUUUGAACUAUAUUUGUGGGAAUGUGUAUCUUGAAUACUUGAGGCUACCACUGCAGAUGUGUGUGUGAGAUGUAUAAAUACUGAAUGUUAUUCUCCCUUCCCUUAAAUGGAAAACAUUAGCUCCCUUUUAUUUCCAUUUUAUUUUUAUUUUUGAAGUGGACUCUUGCUCGUUGCCCAGGCUGGAGUGCAAUGGCACAAUCUCGGCCCACUGCAAUUUCUGCUUCCCGGGUUGAAGUGAUUCUCCUCUCUCAGCCUCCUGAGUAGCUGGGACUACAGGCACCCGCCACCACGCCCAGCUAAUUUUUGUAUUUUUAUUAGAGAUGGAGUUUUGCCAUAUUGGCCAGGCUGGUCUUAAACUCCUGACUUCAGGUGAUCUGCCCACCCCGACCUCCCAAAGUGCUGGGAUUACAGGCGUGAGCCACCGUGCCCAGCCAGCUCCCUUGUGUAAUGAUUUUUA
rnacentral:lncRNA from 1 species